UUAGGGUGUUGAAUCUAUUCA
rnacentral:siRNA from 1 species